rnacentral:rRNA from 1 species
GACGAACGCUGGCGGCGUGCUUAACACAUGCAAGUCGAACGGUGAAGCGCCUUCCUUUUUGGUGGGUGUGGAUGAGUGGCGAACGGGUGAGUAACACGUGAGUAACCUGCCCCCUUCUUCUGGAUAACCGCAUGAAAGUGUGGCUAAUACGGGAUAUUCUGGGUCUGUCGCAUGAUGGGUCUGGGAAAGAUAUUGUUUCGGUGGGGGAUGGGCUCGCGGCCUAUCAGCUUGUUGGUGGGGUGAUGGCCUACCAAGGCGGUGACGGGUAGCCGGCCUGAGAGGGUGGACGGCCCGACUGGGACGGAGACACGGCCCAGACUCCGACGGGAGGCAGCAGUGGGGAAUAGUGCACAAUGGGCGAAAGCCUGAUGCAGCGACGCCGCGUGAGGGAUGGAGGCCUGCGGGUUGUGAACCUCUUUCGCCAGUGAAGCAGGCCUGCCUCGUUUGUGGGUGGGUUGACGGUAGCUGGAGAAGAAGCGCCGGCUAACUACGUG